rnacentral:rRNA from 1 species
UACGUAGGGGGCUAGCGUUGUCCGGAAUCAUUGGGCGUAAAGCGCGUGUAGGCGGCCCGGUAAGUCCGCUGUGAAAGUCGGGGGCUCAACCCUCGAAUGCCGGUGGAUACUGUCGGGCUCGAGUACGGAAGAGGCGAGUGGAAUUCCUGGUGUAGCGGUGAAAUGCGCAGAUAUCAGGAGGAACACCAAUAGCGAAGGCAGCUCGCUGGGACGGUAUUGACGCUAAGGCGCGAAAGCGUGGGGAGCAAACAGG